AUUGAACGCUGGCGGCAGGCCUAACACAUGCAAGUCGAGCGAGCGGCGGACGGGUGAUUAAUGCCUAGGAAUUUGCCUGCUAGUCGGGGAUACCUACUGGAAACGGUAGCUAAUACCGCAUACUAUCGGUCGUGCCCAGAUGGGAUUAGCUAGUAGGUGGGGUCACGGCUCACCUAGGGGACGAUCCCUAGCUGGUCUGAGAGGAUGACCAGACACGCUGGAAAUGGGACACGGUCCAGACUCCUAAGGAGGGCAGCAUUGAGGAAGAUUGCACAAUGGGGGCAAGCCUGAUGCAGCCAUACCGCGUGUAUGAAGAAGGCCUUCGGGUUGUAAAGUACUUUCAGCGGGGAGGCGUUACCCGCAGAAGGAGAGCCGGCUAACUCCGUGCCAGCCGACGCGGUAAUAC
rnacentral:rRNA from 1 species